UGGGAAUGAAAAGAUUGCAGGUGACAAUGAAGAUCUAAACUCCACUCCAACAGGGAAUGCUUGGAUUUCUCCUUGCCCAAUGCCUUCACAGCUUUCGUCAAGAUGGGGUACUCAGUAUGAAAGUUAUCCUUACUUUGCUCCUACUCAGUUCACCCAAGGUGAGGCUAGCCAGAGUUCAAUUCCCUCAAAUUAGACUACAAGGAAGUUAGAAGGAGAGAGCCUUCGGCUAUUUUGCGUAGUCCAUUCCGCAUUGAUGACAAACGAGGGAAUGACUUUGCAAAGUAUUUGAGAACAGGUGGCAAGAGAAAUGUUGGUUUACAAAAUGAUGUGGAUUCUAGCUUUUUUAAGUGUAUAAAAAACAAGUCCACUUUGUUGGAAGACAUCCACAUCGAUGCAUAUCUUGUUGUUCUUCAUGCACAACCGGGAUUAGCGAAGCUGAAUAAAGUGGAUGAAAGGGUCACUAUCACUAGCACUGGUUUCAUGGCUGCCAUUACACAAGCAUGGAAUAAAUAUAACAAGACGGACUGUAAUGAGCAGCUUAAUCCGGAUGUGGAAGAAGUGAUACCUGUUGAGGAUCUAUAUGAGCUGCCAAAAUACGUCACAAGUGACCUGCCAAGUUGGGG